GUUUGUAUAGUGUAAAAAACAUAUUACAUUUUCAUUGUAAAGCUGAAAAACCUUUUUCUAAAAACU
rnacentral:tRNA from 1 species